GACGAACCGUGCGAACGUUAUUCGGAAUUACUGGGCUUAAAGCGCGUGUAGGCGGGACGGCACGUCCGUCGUUGAAAGCCCCCGGCUCAACCGGGGAAUCGGCGCGGAUACGACCGUCCUUGAGGGGCGUAGGGGGACAGGGAACUUCCGGUGGAGCGGUGAAAUGCGUUGAGAUCGGAAGGAACACCCGUGGCGAAAGCGCUGUCCUGGACGCCUGACUGACGCUGAGACGCGAAAGCUAGGGGAGCAAACGGG
rnacentral:rRNA from 1 species